rnacentral:lncRNA from 1 species
UUGGUCAAAACCUAAAACCUCUUCAAACACCAAAUAAAUGGCCAAGACAUUUAUCCUAGGUCAAACAAGGUCAAAGGACCUUAGACAAAAAAAUUCAUGAUUUUUAAAAAGUCAGAAGUAUUUUUAAACAAAUAAAAAUAUGCACAAAAUCAAUUAAUUCAUGAAAAAUAUCAAAAUUAAUCCAAAAAAAAAAUUAAUUCAUAAAAGGAAAUCGGAAAAUAUUUAAAGAUUUUUGGUGAAAGUCCCAUAUUUUUUGGAUUAAAAAUGAAAUUAAUAUGAAUAAAAUAAAAUAAAGGGAUUAAAUGAAAAAUCAGAAAAUAAAAAGAAAUUAAAAAAACA